GACGAACGCUGGCGGCGUGCUUAACACAUGCAAGUCGAACGGAAAGGCCCUGCUUUUGUGGGGUGCUCGAGUGGCGAACGGGUGAGUAACACGUGAGUAACCUGCCCUUGACUUUGGGAUAACUUCAGGAAACUGGGGCUAAUACCGGAUAGGAGCUCCUGCUGCAUGGUGGGGGUUGGAAAGUUUCGGCGGUUGGGGAUGGACUCGCGGCUUAUCAGCUUGUUGGUGGGGUAGUGGCUUACCAAGGCUUUGACGGGUAGCCGGCCUGAGAGGGUGACCGGCCACAUUGGGACUGAGAUACGGCCCAGACUCCUACGGGAGGCAGCAGUGGGGAAUAUUGCACAAUGGGCGGAAGCCUGAUGCAGCAACGCCGCGUGCGGGAUGAAGGCCUUCGGGUUGUAAACCGCUUUCGCCUGUGUCGAAGCGUGAGUGACGGUAAUGGGUAAAGAAGCACCGGCUAACUACGUG
rnacentral:rRNA from 1 species